UUAUAUUUUGUUUAUUAAUUAAUUUUUUUUUUAUUAUAAAUUAUUAAAAAUAAUUAUUAAAAGAUUUGUUUAAGUAUUUUAUAAAGAAAAAAUAAUUUUAAUUAUAGUUAAAUAGUAUUGUGAAAGAAAAUUGAAAUAAUUUGAAAAAUUAAUAUUUUAAAAGAAAAUUUAAUUUAUUGUACCUUGUGUAUCAGGGUUUAUCAAAUAAAAAUUAUGUAAUAUAAUUUUCUCGAUUUUAAAAGAGUUAAUAUAUUAUAAAAGUUAAUGUAACAAAAUUAUUUUAUAUAAUAUAUUAGAAAUGAAAUGUUAUUCGUUUUUAAAGGUAUCUAGUUCUUUAAGAAAUAAAUUUAAUUUAGAAAUUUUAUAUUAUUUAAUUAAAUAUAUUAAUUAAAUAAUUAUUUUAUUUUAAUAUUUUGUGGGAUAAGCUAUGAAAUAAACUAUUAAAAAUUAUUAAAUAAUUUAAUAAAUAUAAGCUUAGAAAUAGCUAUUAUUAAUGAAAUUGUUAUAAUUUAUUUUAUUAUAUUAAUUAUUUAUUAAAUUUUAAUUAUGUAUUAAAGUAUUUAUUUUAAUUAAAAAAAUAAAAAAAUAAUGAUAAAAUUAGUAUAUUAUAUUGUAUAAAUAUAAUAAAUUGAGAAGUUUUUAUAAAGAACUCGGCAAAAAUAAUGUUCGCCUGUUUAACAAAAACAUGUCUUUUUGAAUUUUUUUAAAAGUCUAGCCUGCCCACUGAAUUAUUUAAAUGGCCGCAGUAUACUAACUGUGCAAAGGUAGCAUAAUCAUUAGUCUUUUAAUUGAAGGCUGGUAUGAAUGGUUGGACGAGAUAUUAACUGUUUCAUAAAAAUUUAUAAUAGAAUUUUAUUUUUUAGUUAAAAAGCUAAAAUAAAAUUAAAAGACGAGAAGACCCUAUAAAUCUUUAUAUAUAAAUUAUUAGAAUUUUGUAGAUUUUUUUUAUUAUAAUAAUUAAUUAUAUUUUAUUGGGGUGAUAUUAAAAUUUAAUAAACUUUUAAUUUUUUAAAAAUCAUUAAUUUAUGAAUAAUUGAUCCGUUAAUAACGAUUAAAAAAAUAAGUUACUUUAGGGAUAACAGCGUAAUUUUUUUGGAGAGUUCAUAUCGAUAAAAAAGAUUGCGACCUCGAUGUUGGAUUAAGAUAUAAUUUUAGGUGUAGCCGCUUAAAUUUUAAGUCUGUUCGACUUUUAAAUUCUUACAUGAUCUGAGUUCAAACCGGCGUAAGCCAGGUUGGUUUCUAUCUUUAAAAAAUUAAAAUAUUUCAGUACGAAAGGACCUAAUAUUUAAUAAAUAAUUAUUUUUAUAUUGAAUAUAAUUAAUUUAU
rnacentral:rRNA from 1 species